CGUGUAGGCGGGUAUAUAAGUCAGAAGUGAAAUCCUAUAGCUUAACUAUAGAACUGCUUUUGAAACUGUAUACCUAGAAUGUGGGAGAGGUAGAUGGAAUUUCUGGUGUAGGGGUAAAAUCCGUAGGGAUCAGAAGGAAUACCGAUUGCGAAGGCGAUCUACUGGAACAUUAUUGACGCUGAGACGCGAAAGCGUGGGGAGCAAACA
rnacentral:rRNA from 1 species